rnacentral:lncRNA from 1 species
UCACAAAAUAAGUACCGUAUGUUCCGUAGCAUGUCAGCCAGUGAACCUUGCUUGCUCCUGCAAUUUGCCUGUGGCACAGCCUAAGAAGGAGUGAUUUUGGACUGUGUGACCUUCAACAUUCUUCCAAAUUACAAGUGGAUGGUUCCAACCACCAUUUGCAGAACUCAUAAGGCUGUUUUCUUCUCUGUGUUACGCUGAAGAGGAAAAAGUGAAUGUGCAGUUGCCAUUGUGCUGCAGUACAAGCGAAUUUUGUUAGCGGUGUGUCAUCAGAUGCUUCUGAGAGGGACUUGAAAGGUCUGGCUAUCAUUCAUAUAUCUUACAGUGUCAAACACUGAUGGAGAUGUCAGUAAAACCUGCAUUAAUGUUCAAACUAUGAUUGUGCUUAAGUGUAGCUAGAUAAUGGCCUCAAGUCCUCCUUCCUAGUACUUGUUUGACAGGUUGCAUUCCAGAUUCAUUUUAUUGCAAAGCAAUAAACCCUAAAGGGUUUUUGGGGGGUGAUUAUUUAUUACUAGAACAAUACUAACAUAUUAUUAUUAUUAUUAUCAAUAUUAAUAUUAUUAGUAUUAUUUAUCUUAUUAGAUUUUAUUAGAUUUCUUUCCUGCUCAUUAUCAUAAGGUCCCAGGGUGAGAUACAGCAACCUAAAAGUAUAUUAAAAUGUAGGAAAUAACAAAAUAGUAAAAUUAAAAGCAGCUGUUGUGUGUACCACAGCCUUCUGAGACAAGGUUGACCUUUACCUUUACCUUUAAUCAUUAAAUAUUUUUGUUUUGAAAGAAGCUUCUGGAUUCAGAUAAAUGCUUGACGUAUCUGGUUGCUUUUUGUGUUUUUGCUGCUUUUUCCAUUUUAUUAUUUGUGUUUUAAUGGAUGGAUCAUUGCUUUUUAUCUCUCUUUUUUAAUUUCCAAGUUGCUUUGAGAAACUCCUCUGGGAGGAGUGGAAGUGGGGCAUUUAAAAUAACAAAGAAAUGUCCACUCAGAAGUAAAUCCCAGCAUGGUCUUAUUCCAGCAUAGAAUGGGGCUAUAAGAUUGUAGCCAUAGCUACUACCUGCACCAAUAUUAGCAUUGUUUUGUUUUGGUUAGGUUUUUGUUUUAAACACAUUUUGUAGCAAUUUCUGCCAAUGAAGUUUUUAAAAACAUUUUUCACAAUUUAGCAUGCAAUAUUAGUUUCACAAUUCUUUCCUCAAUUACCUAUGCCAGUGAGCCUGGUAUCUCGAUUCUUUUUCAUUAAGGCUCUUAUGUUUCCCUUUGCAUUCUUAUUCUGAAGGUGAAAGGCAUUCUGAAGAAUAAAACUGCACUCUAGACCUGAUGAGUCACAACUGGAUGAAUCUUUCCAUCUAUUUCAUAGCCCCUUGGCUGUAAAUAAGUGUUUCACGUGUUCCCCUCUCCCUGCUCCUGAACUUCCCCAGGUCUCAUCACCCACUCUGUAUCUCUACUUGUCCAUUUCUUUGGGUCAGGCUGGCUGCAGCUUGGGAGAUGUUGCUUCAGCCAUGAUUCAACUCAGACUGGGGUCUUCUACAGGAGCUGGAGGCCUCCCUUCCUGGCCCUCAGCCUCAUCAUGAUUUGAGCAAGGGCUUCCAAGAGCUUUGCCCUCCUUCUGAGUAGCCUCAUGGGCAGCUAGCCAGGCCUUUUGGUGAAGUUCUUGCCUGGCUCUCUAUCUCCUCUGCUCCUGUGGCUGGAGGGAUGCAGAAAAACAGAUAGGAACCCCAACACUGUAUGUAAAACAAAGCAAAAAGAGCAGCUUCAUGUGAGUAAAGGGGACAACCAAACUCUUUGAGUGAGGUCCUCACCUGGGAGCUCUCUGAGAACAAACCACCAGGAGUUCUGAGGGCUGCUGGAACCAGAGGUGGCAAUUGGUUUGUGACACGGAGCCCAUUCUAGAAUGUUCCAAAUAGAAGAAACCAGUCGGAGAAAGGGCAGGGAAUGAUAUCAUCAAACAGGGUUUGUGUGAAGGCUGACUUCAUUUAGAACCCAGAAGAGGGGAGGGAGAGACCAGUUUGGAGCUCUGGAGAAGACCUUUUGGGGGUGUACUUCUCUGUGACACGAUGUGGGACUGUGGAUUUUGCUGUUUGUAGGAGUUACAGUGUCUGUUUCCAUAUCUGCUCAAUCUGUAAAUAUUACAAAAAUGCCUCAAGGGUGACAUCUAGUCAUACUCAGAGUAGACCCUGAGCUAAAAGUUACUGAAGACCAUUGGUUUCAAUAGGUCAAAAUUGCUUGGCUGGAUAUUAUCCUUAGUCUCCAGAGAUCCCUUAUUCCAAAGGGAACCAAACCUUGGCAAAUAUCGCACCCCUACAAUUUUCACACGAUUCAGGGAACUGAGGCAUUUGUUAACAAUAUGAAUACUAUUCCCCCACCCCCAUAAUCUCACACUCUCCAACCUAUUUCAGGACUGAGCUGUUGUGUGUUCAGACCCAGAGACCUCCCCCCUAAAUAAACACACAUUUGACCAAAUUGUUUGGUUUGUUAGCCAACUUUACAUUACAGAAAAUGAGGUGCGCCUGAACACUGGGGACCGCCCCAGGUCAGCCAGGGUGACACCUGGGUAGCCGGGAACAGAUGUUCACCGCCUGACUGGACACCUCGGGUACAACUAGUCUAUGGAUCUCAUAGGGACGGGCGUCCCCCCCACCUGAACAGUGCCAUCCCAACCAGGCAUUAAGGCCGGCCGCAAUCAGCCAAGUGCUGCCUGUCCCAACGACAAGGUCCAAAUGCCAAAGUAGAGAGUGGUCCUGCACGAGCCGAAGAGGAAGCUGUACAUGCAUGUAUAUGGUCCUUCGUUUGACUGCCAUUGAGAAACCAGAACAGACACCAAGGUUGGCUGUCAAUACCACAGGAGGAUUCAGUCCGCCACGGCUGGGAGGACAGAUAGCAGGCAUCAGAGUUGUGUGACACUAUAGAAACUAUUAAUAAUGUGGCAUAAAUAGGUAAAGGUAAAGGGACCCCUGACCAUCAGAGGUCCAGUCGAGGAUGACUCUGGGGUUGCGGCGCUCAUCUCGCUUUAUUGGCCGAGGGAGCCGGCGUACAGCUUCCGGGUCAUGUGGCCAGCAUGACUAAGCCGCUUCUGGCAAACCAGAGCAGCACACGGAAACGCCAUUUACCUUCCUGCUGGAGCGGUACCUAUUUAUCUACUUGCACUUUGACGUGCUUUCAAACUGCUAGGUUGGCAGGAGCAGGGACCGAGCAAUGGGAGCUCACUCCGUCACGGGGAUUUGAACCGCUGACCUUCUGAUCGGCAAGUCCUAGGCUCUGUGGUUUAACCCACAGCGCCACCCGUUUCCUGUGGCAUAAAUAGUGUUGGACUAAAACUUCCAUCACCCCUGAUGGCUGGGGUAGUUAGGAGUCUGACAAUAUCUGUAGGACCACAGGAUCCUCAUCUCUAGGACUACUUCAUCGAUGCACAAACCUAAGUAGCAAUAUUCCAUUUCGGGAUGGUGCUUCUGUGAGAGUUUUUUUAAGGGGGAUUCCCCCCCCCCCCGAGCAUUUGACACACAAGUAUAAGCAACUCACUUUAGGGUUCUCUUUUUGCAUGGUUGAGCAAAAAAAUCCAAAUCAUAUGGGUUUAUUCACCUCAGUGAAUUUUAAUAAAUGUGGCACUUACAGUAUGUUAAUGCGGAGCCAGCAUAAGCAAUGCUCCAGGCAGAAGUAGUUUUAAGGAAUUGCAGGUGUUGUGGGUCUUUUUGUUUGAAGUCUCCCGGCUCCCCAGCUUGCCAGGAACAUGUGUUGCAUAUUAACAACUUGUAUCCAUGAUUGUCAGCAAAUUGCAUAAUUGGUUCACUAUGCCUGAGAUAGAACUGUAAUCAUGAACAAGUGAUUGGACAUAUGAAAAAUGUGAACUAAAACAAAAAACAAAAAACUCCAAACACAAUACAUUUUAGUAUAUGACUGUUUACAUUAUUUCAAACUGCUUUUUAAUUGUGCUUUUUCUUUUAUAAAUUUUUUUAAAAAAAAUUUAUGUGAGGGGUUUUUUUGGGGGGGGUUUAUUCAGCUGUUUCUUUUUAUAUUUUGAUUAUGUAUUUUGUGGUUCUAUAUUGUAAUUUUAUCUUGUGAAGCACCCUGAGACAUGCAGGUAUAGGGUGGUACAUAAAUUUAAUUAAUAAUAAUAAUUUAAGUAACAGAAUAAAUUGUAUAGGAGAUAGGAUAAGGGAUCAAGCCACUCACAAGAAAUACCUUGUUAUUUUACUUAGCAAAGAACAUGUCUACUUAAAGCAUUGAAGGUGUUGUCUUGAGACUGAAUAGCUGACUGCCUAUUCCCCUCCUCACAUCCAGCCCUAUAUUUCUGUGAAUUCAUCGCUUGUAUUUUCCUGUCUGGGACUCUGAAGUGGAUAGUCGUGAUUUUCCCCAAUGUACAAAUACAUUUGCAACAUCCUAUAUACCGUAUUUUUCGCCCCAUAGGGCGCACCGGCCCAUAGGGAGCACCUAGUUUUGGGGGAUGAGGAAAUAAAGAAAAUAAAAUUAUUUCCCCCCCCCCAGGCGCAGGGCUGGGGCGCGUGGCUCAGCAUGCCCCAGGCUUCGGGAUGCAGGCAGCUCCCACCGCCAGCCUCCAAACCAGGCCCGGGAACAGCGGCGGCGCUCUGCCUCCGCGCUGUCCCCCGAGCUUGUGGGGCUGGCGAUGGGGAGAAGCGCGCUUCUCCCCACCGCCAGCCUCCAAACCAGGUCAGGUUUGGAGGCUGCUAUCCGCAAGCCUUGGGAGCCUGACUGGAGCUCCAGCGGAGCUCCCAAGGCUUGCGGAUAGCUUCCUGAAGUCUGGAGAGCGAGAGGGGUCGGGGCGCCCCGACCCCUCUCGCUCUCCAGGCUUCAGCGAAAGCCUGCAUUUGCCCCAUAGGAUGCACACACAUUUCCCCUUCAUUUUUGGAGGGGGAAAAGUGUGUCCUAAAGGGCGAAAAAUACAGUACAUAGGACCUUGUGCAGAUGUUCUGAUCAAUGGACAGGACACAGCUAACAAGUUCCACCAGCCUAAUGGGGUUUUCCCCUCUCUUCUUGCCCUAUGUCCCCUCAUGCCUUCCACAGUUGGCUCUGUGUGGUGGGGCAGAGAGGAGAGAUUGUUUCAUCUGGCACCUUGAGAAGCUCGAGGUGAUGGAACAAUUGCCAUAGCGCUACACUGAAUUUCUUUCAAUAUUUGGAUGUCAGGUACAUGGAGAAUUUUAAUGGGCAUCAUCCAAGUCACUGCUGCCAAUCGUAAUGAUAAACAAGUAGGAUAACAACAACAAUGCUAAUUUUUAACAAAAUUAAAGAAAUAAUUCAGAGGCACCUUAGUGGCCAUAUUCACUGUGGUUUGCUCAGAAACAGAGUCUAGGUACAGUGGUACCUUGUUUCUGGAACUUAAUCCAUUCUGGGAGUCCAUACGUCUCCCGAAACCAUUCAAAAACCAAGGUGCAGCUUCCGAUUGGCUGCAAGAGCUUCCUGCACUCAAAUGGAAGCUUCGUUGGAUGUCUGGCUUCUGAAAAAUGUUCGCAAACUGGAACAGUUACUUCUGGGUUUGCGGUGUUCGGUAGCCGAUUUGUUUGACAGCCUCAGCCGUUCGAGAACCAAGGUACCGCUGUAUCCUGAACAAAGUGGCCCUGAUGCAUUUGCAGGUGCACUCAACAGCUAGUGACCUAGAUGUGGUGCACAUUCUGCUGGCAUCCAGUGACCUAUCCAGCUCAUUGAAUGAGGCCCAUAAUUCGGUGGCUUAAGAGCUCAUGGAUUUUGCAUAUGAUUUAGGCCUGCUGGUGAAGGUGAGAAAAGUGACAGCAGCAUUUUCUAGUGUUCUGAAUUUCAUAUCAAGUAAAGAUGUAGAUGAGAAGCCAGAGACAUAUGUGCAUAUGUUCUAGAUGCACAUAUGAAAGAUGGAGUUGCCAUAUUUCAAAUAGUAAAAGCCCCAAAAGUUGUUGAGCCAAAAAGAGAGAGAAGACUUGCCUUACUCGUAGAUUCAGGAAAAACUGCAACCUUUCAGAAAUCCCCCCCCCCCCCGGAUGUCAAUUCUGCCUUUGAAAUCCUGGUAAUGUCUGGGAAAACCCAGAUGUAUGGCAGCCCUAGGAAAAAUUGCUUCCAUUCAUGUAUUACCCUUCGAUCCAGCGACCUUGGGACCUCUUUAUAGGGCUGCCCCAUGUGGCCAACCAUUGAAAUACAGGUGGCGGUCAUCUCAGUUUCUGAUCGGACUCUGCCCACUAAGGCUGGCUAUAGGAUCCUUCUGGGAAGGAAGGCAUAGAGAGAGAGGGUUUUCUAUUCCCAUUCUUCCUGGGUUGAGCAAUGAGGUGUCCCUGAGCUCCGCUAUGUUCCUGUAUCCUUGGAAAUUUGCUUAAUUCUGGUUUUUGAUUUGGUCAUUGUUCCCACCUGGUUCUUUGCUCCUGACCACUGGCUUGUUCUUUGUUCCUAAAUCACGGAAUCUGCUGCCUGUUACCCAGCCCUGAUACAUUUGCAGGAGCACCAAGGCUAAUCUUUAAUGCAUUGAAUGCAAGUGAAGAUAAGAGUGCUGGCCAAGGUGGAUAGUCGAACCUUAAUCUUAUGUCUCUCUUCUUCAGCAAGUACUUGCCUUGUUUAUGUUCCUCAUUUAAGUGAGAGUCCUGAAAGAAGGGACCUCGUGGAAUGAUUCUUAGUUUGGUCUCUCAGCUUUUUGCUUUUCCUCUCAUUAAGUUGCUUUGUAGCCCUUGUUCGUUUCAAUUAUGUAACGUGCUUGCUUUAUUGAUCUGUGACCGUAUAAUUAAUUCACAAGUGAGACAUUCAGCAGCUGCGUAGAAAAUCUGCCUGCCUUGUAUUGCUAGUUGUGGCAAAAUUGCUUGUUAUGCUGGGGUGUAGGAGAAAGGCACAAAACUAGCUAGAUUAAUUGGAGAACCAACUCCAGAAACUUGUACUUUUAUACAGAACUGUGCUUUAGAUACAAAAUACCUUGACAUUAGUUUCCAACUGGUCUUCUAGAGUAUUGUGAGGCUAUAAGCCCUGUGUGUAGAAGAAUACAAUAAUAGUGCCAUGCCACGGCUUGGAGGCAGGGUCUAUUAUUAUUAUUAUUAUUAUUAUUAUUAUUAUUAUUAUUAUUAUAUUUUACUCUUUUUUUCCAUAUAGAAAGUUACAUUUGUUACUCAACAAUUAUAUUCCAAUUCAAAAGAACUAGUGCAUUCUCUCUCACCCAACACCAAUGUUUAAAACCCAAAAUUACAUAUAAUUUUAAGGUUCUGUCUUACCUCAUUUCAUCCUCUCUAACAUUUUUCUUAAUAUAUUCUGCUGUUUUCUUACAUUUCUCGCUGUGGGUCUUUGUAAAUGGGAAAUAACUUUUAAUAUAGACCAGAAAGGGCAGAGAGGAUGAAAUAGCUGCUGAGGGAUACUGAUCACUUUGUGAUUUAUAAGGUGGCUCUCUAUCUUCCUGGCAGCUAGGAAGAAUAGGAAGAAAGAACUGGAUGGGCUAGCAAUCAAUUGCAAAGGGGACUCUGAGAAUUACUUUUUAUUCCGUACAAUAAGAAAUAAGAAAUUUUGUUGGAUCUGACCAUGGUUUUACUGCAUAUGUAGCGACCGCUGUUUUUUUUAUUCUUUCUUUUUUCCUUCUUUGGAUGUUGCCAUGGCCUUUGGCUAAUGCAAUAAAAAUAGUUACUGUUAUAAACUACAGUGGUACCUCGGGUUACAUACGCUUCAGGUUACAUACGCUUCAGGUUACAGACUCCACUAACCCAGAAAUAGUACCUCGGGUUAAGAACUUUGCUUCAGGAUGAGAACAGAAAUUGUGCUCUGGCGGCAGCGGGAGGCCCCAUUAGCGAAAGUGGUGCUUCAGGAUAAGAACAGUUUCAGGUUAAGAACGGACCUCCAGAAUGAAUUAAGUUCUUAACCUGAGGUACCACUGUAGAAAGGGUUUCCAGUCUUCUUUAGAAGAUUUGAAAUUUGUACCUUUUAUCAGUGCCAUCAAUUUUGCCAUAUCUGCAUAUUCCACGAUUUUCAUCAACCAUUCUUCCUUUGAGUGUGUUCUCUCCUCCUUCCAUUUCUGGGCCUAGAGAAUCCUUGCUGCUGUAGUCACAUGUAUAAUAAAUACCAUUAGGCUAUAUUUGGGAUUUCACAGUCUAGUAUCACCAUCAGGAAGGUUUCUGGCCUCUUGGGAAAAGUCGCUUAAUUCCCCCCCCCUUAAUUUUAUUAAGGUCCAUGUGAUGGACCUUCUUGCAGGUCCACCACAUACGAUAGAAUGACCCCUCAGAGGCAUGGUCAAUUUUAGGAGUAUUGUAAUAAUAAUUAAAAUCAUGCAUUUGUACAAUGCUUCGAACGUACAGGAGAGAUUUUGUUCCCUAGGUUGGUGAUAGGGACUUGUGGGCUUCCCAAUGUUGCUGGACUACAAUUCCUAUCAUCCUUAACUGUUGGCUAUGCUGCUGGGACAAAUGGGGGUUGGAGAAUUUGAAGGUCCAGAAGUCUCCCAUCUCUACACUUGGCAUUUUUAUUUCAACAUGCUUAUAAGUUUUAGUGGUGGGGCUUUCAAUUGCCAUAUUGGCUGCUGGCGUCACAGUUUUCUGUUUGGGUUGUUUUCUUCCUUGCUUUAAGAUUUUAAUUUUUUUUACAUUAGUCCUGGUGGAAAACCAGGACGUGGAGAACUGAUAGCUCAACCCAGUUGGGCUCUUCCUAUGCAAUGGGAUAUAAAUCUUAAAAAUUGGGGAUAUUUAGAUAGAUGCGGCCUCUAGUUACAUGAAUCCAGAUAUUUUGAAAGUUUGUUGUUGUUUAGUCAUUUAGUUGUGUCCGACUCUUCGUGACCCCAUGGACCAGAGCACGCCAGGCACUCCUGUCUUCCACUGCCUCCCACAGUUUGGUCAAACUCAUGCUGGUAGCUUCGAGAACACUGUCCAACCAUCUUGUCCUCUGUCCAUCCCCUUCUCCUUGUGCCCUCCAUCUUUCCCAACAUCAGGGUCUUUUCCAGGGAGUCUUCUCUUCUCAUGAGGUGGCCAAAGUAUUGCAGCCUCAGCUUCAGGAUUUGUCCUUCCAGUGAGCACUCAGGGCUGAUUUCCUUCAGAAUGGAUAGGUUUGAUCUUCUUGCAGUCCAUGGGACUCUCAAGAGUCUCCUCCAGCACCAUAAUUCAAAAGCAUCAAUUCUUCAGCGAUCAGCCUUCUUUAUGGUCCAGCUCUCACUUCCAUACAUCAUACUGGGAAAACCAUAGCUUUAACUAUAUGGACCUUUGUUGGCAAGGUGAUGUCUCUGCUUUUUAAGAUGCUGUCUAGGUUUGUCAUUGCUUUUCUCCCACUUCCAAAUUCUCUUGGCCAUGCUGAGAGCAGGUUUCCAUGAAGGUCCUGGGAGCUGAAGAGAUUAUUUGCUUUGCUGUAGAACACCAAUAAAAUGAGAUAAAAAAUUAGCAGCAAAGGGCGGUGCCAGGAAAAUGGAGGCAAUAGGUCUAGGCAGAGCAAUGACAUUAGGGGAAGGCAGUAAACAGACACUAUGAUUCCCUCAUGGAGGUGAGAAUGGGAAGUUCAAACAUGAUAAUUAAAAGCUAAAGAGAAAGCGGUGGAAUAAUUGGAAGCAAUUAUUUUUCAGCAAAGCGCCAUUUGGGCCCUCUGAAAGAACAGAUAAUCAGGCAGAUAAUUUCCACUGUACUAAGCAGCUAUUAAGUGGAGCAAAACCAAUACUCUUUUUUUCUUGCUUUAUCAGUACAUUAUGUCAGAAAAAAAGCCUUAAAGCAUCUCUCUCCCUCUCUCUCUCCCCCCUGAGUAAACGGGGUGGGGUAAGGAAAAUGAAUACUGACUGAAGACUGUAAAGGGUCUGAUUUUUCAAAGGAACAAAAGAUAUGUAGUUCUGUGGUAAGAUUCACCAACAUUCACAUCCCACCCCCCUCGGUUAAAGGUCAUUGGUUUGGUUUUCAAUUAUAAAGUUCACGUGAGGCAAAGUGAGGCAGCUGUAAAAGUUGUAAAGUUAUAAAAACCAAGUAUUUCGAUAAAGGGCAUCAUCAGUAGUACCUAAAAUGCGUCUGAAGGAUUCUGUGAAGGAGAUUUUAAAAUGUGAGCUUCUCCUACCAUGUAAUGGGAGCUCUGCCUUGCCUUUUUAAUCAAACAAAUGAUUAAACCUGGCUUUCUGUGGACUAUUUCAACCCCCAAAUCUAAUCAAAUGCUGUUUAUGGAGUAAUAUUCGCCUAAGUGAAACUUCAAUGUCAAAAGCACGUAACGUUGAGGUAUAUGGGAUUUUGAUUUAUAUACCCUUGGCACAUGGGACAGUGUUGAUUUGGGGGGGGGGGGAGCCUUUUGAAUUUAAAUUAAAAAGAAUUGUUCAAGAGCGGACCAGGGGCAAUGUGGGAAGUAGAAAAGCAUUAUUCACAAGCUACUUGGGGUGGCAUAGUACUUUCUGCAGCCCAAAUAUCACAGUACAGCAGGUAAUGGCCUCUGGCCGAAAGAUGCCUUACUGUGUCACAUUCUCUAUUCUCUGGUUUUCGCUUGUCCCAGGGCACUAAGCACAUCAGUGCAAGUAGCUAAAUAGGUACCGCUGUUGUGGGAAUGUAAAUGGUGUUUUCAUGCACCCUGGUUUCUGUCACAGACUUGCACCAGAAGUGGUUUAGUCCUGCUGGCCACAUGACCCAGAAAGCUGUCUGCGGACAAAUGCCGGCUCCCUCGGUCUGAAAGCGAGAUGAGCGCCGCAACCCCAUAGUCACCUCAGACUGGACUUAACCACCCAGGGGUCCUUUACCUUUACCACCAGCAGCUGCCAAUGGCAUGGAGUAGAGUAAGAUGAAUCAUAUGUGACUCUUAAGUAUAAUGGUUUAAUUGAUUCUGAAAUGAGGAUGCCUAAAUGUAUAUUGCAGAAGGUUUAACAUGGGGCUCUUCAAUGGGGCUAUAUUAAAGCCAAGGAGAGAGCACGCUGAGCUCUUGCUAAGUUAAUGUUUAACUAACUGAUUGCUGUUUCUCUGGUAGCUAACAUGUGAGAGUUGUAACCUUAUAUCAUGUGAGAAGUAUUGGGUUUCAAAAUCUGCAUUUUGAAAGGGAGUUGCCUUUGAAUCAUUAUCUCCUAAACUCAACAGUAAAGGUCAAGCACCCCUGGAUGGUAAAGUCCAGUUGAAUUCGACUAUGAGGUAUGGCACUCACCUCUGCUUUCAGGCUGAGGGAGUUGACAUUUGUCCGCAGACAGGUUUUCCAGGUCAUGUGGCCAGCAUGACUAAGUGGCUUCUGGAGCGAUGGAACACCAUGACAGAACCAGAGUGCUGUACCUAUUUAUCUACUUGCACUGGCGUGUUUUCAAACUGCUAGGUUGGCAGAAACUGGGACAGAGCAACGGAAGCUCACCCCAUCGCGCGGAUUCGAACCGCCGACCUUCUGAUCAGCAAGCCCAAGAGGCUCGGUGGAUUAGACCACAGCACCACCCACAUCCCUCAAACUCAGUGGAGUGAAGGUGUAAAAUUAGGCUCUCCUGAAGCAAGAGUAAAUAGCCUUCAGGCUGUGGAGAGAGAGAGAGGGACCUUUGCUUCUAGGUAUGUUUGGAUUAUUUCAUAUUUCACAUGCAAGAUGCUGAGCCUGUUGUAGAUAACACAAUACAUUGUAUGGAUAUUUGGAUGUAUUCUGUUUUGUUUUAAAGCGUUCUGCUGGUAAAAAGUUUGAACAAUAUUUUUUAUUGGUCUGGACAAUGUUUUAUUCCAAAAGAAGUCAGCUCUUAUGCUUCCAGUUGCUUCAAACUGCACUAUAUUAGUAUCUGCAACAGUGACAAUGUUACUUAAAUGGAACUAAACCUUAACAGCAGUGGUAGCAGGGAACCUUUGACCCUGCAGAUGUUUCUGGACCUAGACCACAACUCCUGUCUCCCCUGACUAUUGGUCAACCAUAUCUGGAGGGCUGCAUAAGUUCUCCACUCCUGUCUGGAAGAGAGAAAGGGGAGGAUGAGUUACAGGAGGUCAUUUUUGAUAGUAAUCCACUAUAACAUGUGUUUUGGCUCAAAGUCACUGUAAUUGUUCGAGGGUGUGUGUGUAUUUUAAUUGCCCCUUUGGGAUAGUUGGUAAUUGCUACCUGAACCACUUAGGGUGACUUCUCUCCCAUUUAUACAAAGGAUGCUAGUCAAGCUGAAUCUUGCCUCCAACCUACUUAAGAAAAGAAAACCCCGUGGAACAGCUAAAAUGUAUAAUUUCAGACUUCAUGUGUUUGGACACCUUUCAACAUAAGGCAGGUGCAGAACAGCGACUGCGACUAAUUGUCUUGUAAUUAUAAUGCUAAAAAGUGAGCAUGGUUGGAAUGGCAGAUUAUUAAUCCAGUUGGCUUCAAAACUCGCCGCUACAGAUAAAGAGUAAAUUAAUUAAUUUGGCCCGUUAGUGGCCUCUAUUCUUUGUGACAGAUCAGUGAAUGCUUUCCCAAAAGCUUCCCAUAUAUGUUUAAAUUCAAGUGCCUCUUCCAAAGCAACUACUCUAUUCCAAACUUUAAAAAUGGAAAGUGUAAUGCUGGUCAACAAAAGAGGUUUAAAGACUGUGUCAAGGCAAAUUUUUAAACAAUGUAGUAUAAACACCAACAAUUGGGAAACACUUGCCUGCGAGCACUCCAGUUGGAGAACAGCCUUUACCAAAGGUGUCAUGGGCUUUGAAGACACUCGAACUCAGGACGCAAGGGAGAAACGUGCUAAGAGGAAGGCACGCUUGGCAAAUUCCCACCUUGAUCAACUCCUGCCCAGAAACUUAUGUCCCCACUGUGGAAGGACAUGUGGAUCCAGAAUUGGCCUCCACAGUCACUUACGGACUCAUUGUUAAAACCGUGUUUAUGGAAGACAGUCUUACUCAGUUACGAGUGAUCACCAAAGAAGAAGAGGAGGAGGAGGAGGAGGAGGAGGAGGAGGAGGAGGAGGAGAAGAAGAAGAAGAAGAAGAAGCUUUUGCACCCAGAGCCAAUGGUGAGGGCUCAGAGGCAGAGCAAGGUGGGUGCAGGCUGCCCCGGGCGUCAUCCCUGAGGGGAGGUGACAAACUCCACCCUGGGUGGAUUGCUGCCAUGGAAAUAGAGCACCCCCCGGGCAGAUUGAUGCUGUGUCGAUCACGCACCCCCGGGUGGAUAGCCCCGUCCCCUUGAGUGGAUCACCCCACCCCCGUGGGCACGGCAUGUGGCCACUCCGGGUGCCCAAGCAGCUAGCUCAGCCACUGUGAGGGCUGUUUUCUUUUCUUUUCUAUAAAUAAUUUGAGAAAAGUUUUCUGAUUGCUUUUAGCUUCUUGAAGCAGGGGCCUGGCAGAGGAGAAGGAGACAUAUGUUUAAUUCUUUAAAAUGUACAGUAUAAGGAACUACAGUGGUACCUUGGGUUAAGAACUUAAUUCAUUCUGGAUGUCCAUUCUUAACCUGAAACUGUUCUUAACCUGAGGUACCACUUUUGCUAAUGGGGCCUCCCGCUGCCACCGUGCCGCCGUCACACAAUUUCUGUUCUCAUCCUGAAGCAAAGUUCUUAACCCAAGGUAUUAUUUCUGGGUUAGCGGAGUCUGUAACCUGAAGCGUCUGUAACCCGAGGUACCACUGUACAGAUAAAGUCAGAGGCAUACCUAGGGGUUGGCAAAACUGGCCCCUUCUGGGGGUGCAAGCCUGGUGAGGGGCACAAAAAUCAUUUCUCAGACGAUGGAGUGUAUGAUGUAAAUGUUUGUCAAUGUGAUACUGCUAUCAUUGCAAAAUCAAACACAGGAGAAGCUUCCUGUCUUUCUCUCACAGUGGCACAAAGGUGGGUGUGUAAGUGAUUUUUUUGGGGGUGUCCUAGAUAAGCAGCUGGAUAAAGUGCUUUCUUAACAGCACAUAAAGUAAAGUAAAGGUAAAGGGACCCCUGACCAUUAGGUCCAGUUGUGACUGACUCUGGGGUUGCGGCGCUCAUCUCGCUUUAUUGGCCGAGGGAGCCAGCGUACAGCUUCCGGGUCAUGUGGCCAGCAUGACUAAGCCGCUUCUGGCGAACCAGAGCAGCGCACAGAAACGCUAUUUACCUUCCCGCCUGAGCAGUCCCUAUUUAUCUACUUGCACUUUUAUGUGCUUUCGAACUGCUAGGUUGGCAGGAGCUGGGACCGAACAACAGGAGCUCACCCCGUUGUGGGGAUUUGAACUGCCAACCUUCUGAUCGGCAAAUCCUAGGCUCUGUGGUUUAACCCACAGCACCACCCGCAUCCCCAAACAGCACAUACUUCUCAGCAUAUAAUUAACCUGUGUUACAAAAGUGUGACCACAAGUAUAAAAGACCUCUCAAAUGGUCUUUUAAAGAGUGAGCACAUUGGUCCUUUCAUCGCAUGAACCUCUUGUGUUCUGCCUCUCUAACAUAUAUGUAUAUUUGGAAAAAGAAAAUAUGAAAGUGCUUAAGAGUUGGUUUAUGGAUAGAUGAUUGAGAAUUAAAAAAUGUUUAGAAUUUAUUUAUUUUAAUCAAGUCCCCCAUUUUUUUUAAAUGAAGGUCUUCUCUUGGCAAUGUGAAUAGUAAAAUAGACUAAAUUAAAACAUCCACUACAACAGCUUUAAUAGACAAAACCAUAAAUCAAUAAGACAAACCCUGCAAUAGUACAACGAUAAAACUGAACCAUAAAAUCCUAAAUAGGCAGACACAAAUCAAAAACCCAGCAACUGGUUCAACAAAACUCAGCCAAACUACAGAUGCUUUAAUAGGCCCGGCCAAAUGGCCAUUAUUCUGCAGAGACCAGCAUCAGUGAUGUUAAAGGAUAUUAGAUCAAAAAGUCCCUUUCCUCAGCUCCAACAAUGCAUUGAAGUUUCUGCUUCCAACAAAUUAAAACACCAAAUAUUAAAAACUUCCCAAUUCCGGGCUGCCUUCAGAUGUCUUCUAAAAGUCAGAUAGUUGUUUAUUUCCUUGACACCUGGUGGGAGGGCCUUCCACAGGGCAGGCGCCACUACCGAGAAGGCCCUCUGCCUGGUUCCCUGUAACCUCACUUCUCACAGUGAGGGAACCACCAGAAGGCCCUCGGAGCUGGACCUCAGUGUCCGGGCUGAACGAUGGGGGUGGAGACGCUCCUUCAGGUAUACUGCGCUGAGGCCAUUUAGGGCUUUAAAGGUCUAUAAAGCAGUUUUGUGCCAGACUGGGUGUGUGGACUGUGUAGAGCCAUCUGGUUCCACCAGCCUUUGUAGGGUAAUCCCCACCUCCACCCCGUUCUGCUACACGUCACUCUGCUGGGGUGGUGCUCCCUCUUUCAUCUGUUGAAUGGCCAGGUAGACAGAAGCUCUGCAAGCAGGAACCCCACCAGUAACAACCAGUGGGAAGCUUUGAAAUGGGGUGUUCAAGAGGAGGAGCUGAGCUGGCUCAAGAGCCAUUGGAUUCUACGCUGGCCCCACUGCUUCCAUGGGAUGGCAUUAAGGCCACAUUUGCACCAUACAUUUAAAGCAGGUUUACACUAUUUUAGCAGUCACAGCCUCCCUCAAAGAAUCCUGGGAACAGGAGUUUGGUAAGGAUGCUAAGAGUUGGUAGGAAAUGCUUAUCAUACUCUCCAACAUUUUCCCAAUGAAAAUAGGGACCCCCUAUACAAGAACAACAAUAAUUUUAUUAUUUAUACCCCACCCACCUGACUGGCUUGCUUCCUGCAUAUAUAAAACCAUUAAAAAACCAUUGGACAUUAAAAAAAAAACCAUUAAAAAGGCUAUACAGGGUUGCCUUCAGGUUGUGUGGUUACUUAUCUCCUUGGCUCAGGGGUCACAUAACAUAAGGCUGACAUACGACCUGAUUUUCUGAAAAUGGCGUCCUGGAUUAUAUUUUUGAAAUCAGGCAAAUGACCUAGAAAACCGGCAAUGGGUGUUACAUUGUGCCGAAAAAGCCCAGAAAAACUCCAUACCUUGAAAAUUCUUGUAGCUUUUACUAGAAAGAGCUCAACAACUUUGGGGUUUGUCUAAAAAAAAGCUCAACAGCCUUUGGGUUUUCUUUUAGAAACCUCAACAAUAUUGAGGUUUUUCUGUCCUAGUUUUUACUUUUUGAAAUAUGGCAACCCUAGCCUAACUCCAUACCCUCCAACAUUUCUCUGGUGAAAAUAGGGAUGUCCUAAGGAAAAGGGAGACAUUCUGGGAUCAAAUCAGAAACUGGAACGGCUUCUGUAAAUCCAGGACUGUCCCUGGAAAACAAGGACACUUGGAGAGUCUUCAGUAUUCGCCUCUGAGAGUUAACAAUUCACUGAGUGGUUUGCUAAUCAACCUUUCUUCCCAAGGAACUCUGGAAAUGUAUGGAGCAAUCACUGGGAGGCUGAUUCAGUGAUUUGAUUGCUCUCCUUCCCACUCUGUCCUGGCUGGCAUAAGCAGCAGGGCUACAGAUGCACCAAUGGUCUCCUAACUCCAUUAAGCUUCACUGGGCAGCAACUGGGGUCUGCAUUGCAUCAUAAUUCAUUAAUGCAUCAGACCACUUCAUCAUCCUGAACCACAAUUGUUUAUUAGUUAAAUGCUACCUAAAUGAUGGCCAGCUUUGAUGCUUCCCAGAUUUAUGACCAUACAUUGAACACUUCUCUUCCUUCCGGAGCUAAAUAUUGCCUUCCACUUGCUAAUAUGCAAUUUUAGCUUGUUCCUUUUAAAUGAUUUAUCCCGAGCAAGGCUGAAAUAAGUUAGAAGUUAACAAUAAUUCGAAUGCAAGUGUUAUUAAACUGAGAGAUGCCUUGCGCAGUGACUUUCCUCUAGGUUCAUUUCCCUGUUUAAUAGACUUGAACUCGGCUAAAGUAGCUGUAAAAUGCCUACCUUGAUGCACAUUUUCUCAUUGAUUCGUCUCAUCUUACCGUAAUAUGCCAGAGACGACACCUAAAUGGAUGGGAAACACUGAGAUAUUUGUGCCUGCUUAAUGCUCAUUUUAGAAGAGGAAUUAAGCAGAUCAGGAGCAAUCGGGGGAUCCAUCAGCAAAGUUUCGGCAGGAGCAAAGCUUGUUAUAAACCAUCCAGCUGUUGAAAAUGGAAAAAUAAGUGUAUGAAAUAAGAUUCUGUGCUGCGUUCAUGCCUCCAGAUCUUCUCCACCAUCUUCUCCUAUCCCUUUUCCCGCAGAGAUAGUGUGCCACAGGCAUUGAUAACUUUGAGCUGAUUACUAUGAACAAUUCCUUCCCCCGUGGUGGUUUCAACUCUCCAGUCUGAAGAGUGGAGUUCUACUGCCAACACUGGGUGAACCUAAGAUGAGUAGGAAGGAAGAAGGGCUACAUUAAUGGGAACUUCCCCAUUGCUCUAGUUUAUAAGCACUCCCUUCAGUGCAGGAAGGCACACCACACCUUGCUAUCUAAAUGAUGGCCAACUUUGUGUGUGAUGAAAUGAUGGCCCUGUGGUCUAAACCCUUGAACCUCUUGGGCUUGCCGAUCAGAAGGUCGGCGGUUCGAAUCCCGGCGGCGGGGUGAGCUCCCGUUGCUCUGUCCCAGCUCCUGCCAACCUAGCAGUUCGAAAGCACACCAGUGCAAGUAGAUAAACAGGUACCUCCGUGGCGGGAAGGUAAACGAUGUUUUCGUAUGCUCUGGUUCCUGUCAAUGUGUCCCGUUGCACCAGAAGCGGUUUAGUCCUGCUGGCCACAUGACCUGGAAAGCUGUCUGUGGACAAACACCGGCUCCCUCAGCCUGAAAAGUGAGAUGAGCACCGCAACCCCAUAGUCACCUUGACUGGACUUAACCAUCCAAGGGUCCUUUAUCUUUUACCUUUACCUUUCAUUUAUUUGACUGCAAAUAUACCGCUUACGAUGGGAGGCAGGAGAUUUUUGGAGAUAGCAGCAGCGGAACCAAAAAAGAAAUCUGGCAGGGAGGAACAAAAGUACAUUUCUAGGUAAGUUACCAGUGAAAGCAAAAUAACAGUAUGACAUUAAUGGCCAGAAUUUUUUUUUUUGUGGGCGAAGCAAGUGGGAGGGCAGGCUCCUUGUUUGGGGAGACACUUGCCCCUCUGCCCCCAUUUUGCUGCCACCUAUGGAUCUGUCAUUCAUAUUGUUGCGUCUGCUCUUUCACAUUAAUAGCCUCACCCUGGAUUCAGUUUCUUGGUCAUCCUGGAGUGUGAUAGAAUCUUGAAGCCUGCCUCCUGGAAUAUACAAGUGGGACCCGCCAUGAAAUGUAAUGUUGCAGCACAUUCUUGCCUUGUAACUGGAGUGCUUCUCUUCAGGGUUCUAGCCUGCCAGAUGCCUGGAGCAUCAUCCGUGGUACCAUAAGUUGCAAAGGGCUCAAGAAGACCCUUUCACUCUCCCUUCUCUAAUCCCACCCCAUCCCCAUUUUCCAUCCCCCCAUCCCCAACUUGCACUCCUCUUUAUGUGGCUCCACUCCCAUUUCCUCCCCCCCCUUUUUUUGCAUUUAAUCUUUAUUGAUUUUAAAUAUUGCAUCCAUCCAUCACAAGAAUAAAAAAGAAAAAACACAUCAAAUACAAAGAAAAUGUUACAUAUAAGAUAAAGUUCUUCCAUACCUUAAGACUUCCAUCUUCCUCAGCAUGGCUCCUUCGUUUCCUGGUUAACUGCAAAUUGUAUGACAUUUAACUUAUCACAAAUUAUAAUCUUUGUAGCAUAUAGUUGUCGGAACCUGCGUUCGACCGAGCGACUCCUCCGGUCGAGCCUUCAUUCUCUCCUCUGACGAUAAUUAACGACCUGAUCCUCUGAUAAGGCUCCAGGCACAUUCCCAUUCAGCAGAGUUUCAAAGCAGCAGAAGUGACGAGAUUUAUGAGCUACAUCGCUAUGCUUUAUUUCUAGCUACACAGACAGAAAAGAAAACAUCCUCUCUCUGUGAAAGACAGAGAGUAACUGUAACAAAGGAACAGGAAACCAGUAAACAUCACAUCCAUCUCCUCUCUCCCGUGAGACUUCCAACAGUUUGGAAUCUCUGGAAUGUAAACAGAGUCUUGUGACUCCAAGCACUGCACAGUGGCAACACACAGAAACCAACAUCAGUAUGGCAGAAGUUAAUCAAAGCAUGUCAAUGAUUUCA